UACGUAGGGUGCGAGCGUUGUCCGGAAUUACUGGGCGUAAAGCGUGCGCAGGCGGUUUUGCAAGCCGGAUGUGAAAUCCCCGGGCUCAACCUGGGAAUGGCAUUCGGGACUGCAAGGCUGGAGUGCGGCAGAGGAGACUGGAAUUCCUGGUGUAGCAGUGAAAUGCGUAGAUAUCAGGAGGAAUACCGAUGGCGAAGGCAGGUCUCUGGGCUGACACUGACGCUCAUGCACGAAAGCGUGGGGAGCAAACAGG
rnacentral:rRNA from 1 species